rnacentral:rRNA from 1 species
GCACCGGAUCCCAUAAGAACUCCGCAGUUAAGCGUGCUUGGGCGAGAGUAGUACUAGGAUGGUUAACCUCCUGGAAAGUCCUCGUGUUGCACCCC